rnacentral:misc_RNA from 1 species
GGAGAAGAUACCAACACAGAAGGAGAAGGCGGUGAGCCAUUUUCGGAUGAUGAAGAAAGGGUUCGUGAGCUAGUAUCAGAGGUACUUAUUGACACCCGUAGAUUGCAGCCACCAACAAAGCCAUUAGAAGAGUGCUCACCAACAGACCCAUUACAAUUGUGCUCACCUAAUGAAACACUAGAAACGCUGUUUGAGAGAAGCUCUUCAAGAGCCACCCUCAUGCCAUGUGGCUUUGGCGGAACAACAAUAACAUCAAUGGGGCGAUAGCCAUUGACAUCUAGGCAAUUCGCACAUGCACCUGCUGAUAAAAGCAGUUUAACAGCAUCAACAGCAUUAAGAGAACCACCAGAAGCAGCACAGUGAAGUGCAGU